rnacentral:rRNA from 1 species
UACGUAGGAGGCGAGCGUUGUCCGGAAUUACUGGGCGUAAAGCGCGCGUAGGCGGUCUGUCGCGUCGGCGGUGAAAGCCCUCGGCUCACCUGGGGGAGGUCCGCCGAAACGGACAGACUGGAGGGCGGUAGGGGCUGGCGGAACGCCCGGAGUAGCGGUGAAAUGCGUUGAGAUCGGGCAGAACACCAGUGGCGAAGGCGGCCGGCUGGGCCGACCCUGACGCUGAGGCGCGAAAGCCAGGGGAGCAAACGGG